GGAAGAAUGAAGACCUAAAGUAUUUUACCAAAGUUUUGAAUAAUGCCAGGGAGAGCUACAAAAGUUAAAGGGAGAUGUGGGGAAAAGAAUUAAUACUCUGAAGAAUACUCUUUCCAGUUCUCUCAGCAACAUUGACGUGAUUUCAAAGGACCUGUGCAAG
rnacentral:lncRNA from 1 species